rnacentral:rRNA from 1 species
CCCUUAGAUGUCCUGGGCCGCACGCGCGUUACACUGAUGCAUUCAACGAGCUUAUAACCUUGGCCGAGAGGCCUGGGCAAUCUUGUUAACGUGCAUCGUGAUAGGGAUAGAUUAUUGAAAUUAUUAAUCUUGAACGAGGAAUUCCUAGUAAACGCAGAUCAUCAAUCUGCAUUGAUUACUUCCCUGCCCUUUGUACACACCGCCCGUCGCACCUACCGAUUGGAUGGUCCGGUGAAGCCUCGGGAUUGUGGUUCUUGCCGCUUUAUUGUGGCGUGACCGCGAGAACUUGUCUAAACCUUAUCAUCUAGAGGAAGGUGAAGUCGUAACA